AUUGAACGCUGGCGGCAUGCCUUACACAUGCAAGUCGAACGGUAACAGGUCUUCGGAUGCUGACGAGUGGCGAACGGGUGAGUAAUACAUCGGAACGUGCCUAGUAGUGGGGGAUAACUACUCGAAAGAGUGGCUAAUACCGCAUGAGAUCUACGGAUGAAAGCAGGGGAUCGCAAGACCUUGUGCUACUAGAGCGGCCGAUGGCAGAUUAGGUAGUUGGUGGGAUAAAAGCUUACCAAGCCGACGAUCUGUAGCUGGUCUGAGAGGACGAUCAGCCACACUGGGACUGAGACAAGGCCCAGACUCCGACGGGAGGCAGCAGUGGGGAAUUUUGGACAAUGGGCGCAAGCCUGAUCCAGCAAUGCCGCGUGCAGGAUGAAGGCCUUCGGGUUGUAAACUGCUUUUGUACGGAACGAAAAGCCCUGGGUUAAUACCCUGGGGUCAUGACGGUACCGUAAGAAUAAGCACCGGCUAACUACGUGCCAGCCGCCGCAGUAAAAC
rnacentral:rRNA from 1 species